GNNGGCGUGGUUAAGACAUGCAAGUCGAACGGGGUUUANUUUGUAGCAAUACACGCUAAAUCCAGUGGCGAACGGGUGCGUAACACGUGAGUAAUCUGCCGGGAAGUGGGGGAUAGCUCGCCGAAAGGCGAAUUAAUACCGCAUAUGACAAGGGAAGACAUCUUUCCAAAGUCAAAGUCGCAAGACGCUUCCUGAUGAGCUCGCGGCCUAUCAGCUAGUUGGUGAGGUAACGGCUCACCAAGGCUAUGACGGGUAGCUGGUCUGAGAGGACGACCAGCCACACUGGGACUGAGACACGGUCCAGACACCUACGGGUGGCAGCAGUCGAGAAUUUUUCACAAUGGGGGAAACCCUGAUGGAGCGACGCCGCGUGGAGGAUGAAGGUCUUCGGAUUGUAAACUCCUGUCAUGCGAGAACAAGAAAGUGAUAGUAUCGCAAGAGGAAGAGACGGCUAACUCUGUGCCAGCAGCCGCGGUAAUACAGAGGUCUCAAGCGUUGUUCGGAUUCAUUGGGCGUAAAGGGUGCGUAGGUGGCGUGGAAAGUUGAGUGUGAAAUCCUAGGGCUUAACCUUAGAACUGCACUCAAUACUCCCAUGCUAGAGGAAUGUAGAGGAGAGUGGAAUUCACGGUGUAGCAGUGAAAUGCGUAGAUAUCGUGAGGAAGACCAGUUGCGAAGGCGACUCUCUGGGCAUUUCCUGACNCUGAGGCACGAAGGCCAGGGGANCAAACGGGAUUAGAUACCCCGGUAGUCCUGGNAGUAAACGGUGCACGUUUGGUGUGGGCGGGCUCAGACCCCGUCCGUGCCGGANCUAACGCGUUAAACGUGCCGCCUNGGAAG
rnacentral:rRNA from 1 species